rnacentral:rRNA from 1 species
UACGUAGGUGGCGAGCGUUGUCCGGAUUUACUGGGCGUAAAGAGCGCGCAGGCGGUCCUAUAAGUCGCGUGUGAAAGCCCCCGGCUCAACUGGGGAGGGUCACGCGAUACUGAUCGACUCGAAGGCAGGAGAGGGUAGUGGAAUUCCCGGUGUAGUGGUGAAAUGCGUAGAUAUCGGGAGGAACACCAGUGGCGAAGGCGGCACUCUGGGCCGGAACUGACGCUGAGGAGCGAAAGCGUGGGGGAGCGAACAGG